rnacentral:rRNA from 1 species
AGAGUUUGAUCCUGGCUCAGAUUGAACGCUGGCGGCAUGCCUUACACAUGCAAGUCGAACGGCAGCACGGAGCUUGCUCUGGUGGCGAGUGGCGAACGGGUGAGUGAUAUAUCGGAACGUACCCUAGAGUGGGGGAUAACGUAGCGAAAGUUACGCUAAUACCGCAUACGAUCUAAGGAUGAAAGUGGGGGAUCGCAAGACCUCAUGCUCGUGGAGCGGCCGAUAUCUGAUUAGCUAGUUGGUAGGGUAAAAGCCUACCAAGGCAUCGAUCAGUAACUGGUCUGAGAGGACGACCAGCCACACUGGAACUGAGACACGGUCCAGACUCCUACGGGAGGCAGCAGUGGGGAAUUUUGGACAAUGGGCGAAAGCCUGAUCCAGCAAUGCCGCGUGAGUGAAGAAGGCCUUCGGGUUGUAAAGCUCUUUUGUCAGGGAAGAAACGGUGAAAGCUAAUAUCUUUUGCUAAUGACGGUACCUGAAGAAUAAGCACCGGCUAACUACGUGCCAGCAGCCGCGGUAAUACGUAGGGUGCAAGCGUUAAUCGGAAUUACUGGGCGUAAAGCGUGCGCAGGCGGUUUUGUAAGUCUGAUGUGAAAUCCCCGGGCUCAACCUGGGAAUUGCAUUGGAGACUGCAAGGCUAGAAUCUGGCAGAGGGGGGUAGAAUUCCACGUGUAGCAGUGAAAUGCGUAGAUAUGUGGAGGAACACCGAUGGCGAAGCAGCCCCCUGGGUCAAGAUUGACGCUCAUGCACGAAAGCGUGGGGAGCAAACAGGAUUAGAUAC